rfam:Triticum aestivum genome assembly, contig: Triticum_aestivum_CS42_TGACv1_scaffold_640974_T_5BS-0.212174_5BL-0.150631
AUGAUACUCCCUCCGUUCGAAAUUACUUGUCGUAGAGAUGGAUGUAUCUAGACGUAUUUUAGUUCUAGUUACAUCUAUUUUCGAGACAAGUAAUCCCGAACGGAGGGAGUAGGUU